CCUACGGGAGGCAGCAGUGGGGAAUAUUGGACAAUGGGCGCAAGCCUGAUCCAGCAAUGCCGCGUGAGUGAUGAAGGCCUUCGGGUUGUAAAGCUCUUUCGCACGCGACGAUGAUGACGGUAGCGUGAGAAGAAGCCCCGGCUAACUUCGUGCCAGCAGCCGCGGUAAUACGAAGGGGGCUAGCGUUGUUCGGAAUUACUGGGCGUAAAGGGCGCGUAGGCGGUGCCUCAAGUCAGGCGUGAAAGCCCCGGGCUCAACCUGGGAACCGCGCUUGAGACUGGAGUACUAGAGUUCGGGAGAGGAUGGUGGAAUUCCCAGUGUAGAGGUGAAAUUCGUAGAUAUUGGGAAGAACACCGAUGGCGAAGGCAGCCAUCUGGACCGACACUGACGCUGAGGCGCGAAAGCGUGGGGAGCAAACAGGAUUAGAUACCCCGGUAGUC
rnacentral:misc_RNA from 1 species